rnacentral:rRNA from 1 species
UACGUAGGGAGCAAGCGUUGUCCGGAAUCAUUGGGCAUAAAGCGCGCGUAGGUGGCUUCGUAAGUCCGUUGUGAAAGUCAAAGGCUCAACCUUUGAAAGCCGAUGGAUACUGUGAAGCUAGAGUACGGAAGAGGCGAGUGGAAUUCCUGGUGUAGCGGUGGAAUGCGCAGAUAUCGGGAGGAACACCCGUAGCGAAGGCGGCACUCUGGGCCGGUACUGACGCUGAGGAGCGAAAGCGUGGGGAGCAAACAGG